rnacentral:rRNA from 1 species
UGGCGGCCAUAGCGCAACGGUCCACCUGAUCCCAUGCCGAACUCAGAAGUGAAACGUUGUAGCGCCGAUGGUAGUGUGGGG